rnacentral:rRNA from 1 species
UAGUCCACGCCGUAAACGAUGUCUACUAGCCGUUGGGGUACUUGAGACCUUAGUGGCGCAACUAACGCACUAAGUAGACCGCCUGGGGAGUACGGCCGCAAGGUUAAAACUCAAAUGAAUUGACGGGGGCCCGCACAAGCGGUGGAGCAUGUGGUUUAAUUCGAUGCAACGCGAAGAACCUUACCAGGUCUUGACAUCCAGAGAACUUUCCAGAGAUGGAUUGGUGCCUUCGGGAGCUCUGUGACAGGUGCUGCAUGGCUGUCGUCAGCUCGUGUCGUGAGAUGUUGGGUUAAGUCCCGUAACGAGCGCAACCCUUGUCCUUAGUUACCAGCGAUUCGGUCGGGAACUCUAAGGAGACUGCCGGUGACAAACCGGAGGAAGGCGGGGACGACGUCAAGUCAUCAUGGCCCUUACGAGUAGGGCUACACACGUGCUACAAUGGCCGGUACAGACGGUUGCAACCCAGCGAUGGUGAGCCAAUCCGAGAAAAGCCGGUCGUAGUCCGGAUCGCAGU